rnacentral:rRNA from 1 species
UGAUCUCAGUUCGGAUUGCAGGCUGCAACCCGCCUGCAUGAAGUCGGAAUCGCUAGUAAUCGCGGGUCAGCAUACCGCGGUGAAUACGUUCCCGGGCCUUGUACACACCGCCCGUCACACCACGAAAGUUGGUAACACCCGAAGCCGGUGGCCUAACCCUUAGGGGAGGGAGCUGUCGAAGGUGGGACUGAUGAUUGGGGUGAAGUCGUAACAAGGUAAC